rnacentral:rRNA from 1 species
GACGAACGCUGGCGGCGUGCCUAACACAUGCAAGUCGAGCGAGUGGAGUUCUUCGGAACAAAGCUAGCGGCGGACGGGUGAGUAACACGUGGGCAACCUACCUCAUAGAGGGGAAUAGCCUCCCGAAAGGGAGACUAAUACCGCAUAAGAUUGUAGCUUCGCAUGAAGUAGCAAUUAAAGGAGCAAUCCGCUAUGAGAUGGGCUCGCGGCGCAUUAGCUAGUUGGUGAGGUAACGGCUCACCAAGGCGACGAUGCGUAGCCGACCUGAGAGGGUGAUCGGCCACAUUGGGACUGAGACACGGCCCAGACUCCUACGGGAGGCAGCAGUGGGGAAUAUUGCACAAUGGGGGAAACCCUGAUGCAGCAACGCCGCGUGAGUGAUGACGGCCUUCGGGUUGUAAAGCUCUGUCUUCAGGGACGAUAAUGACGGUACCUGAGGAGGAAGCCACGGCUAACUACGUGCCAGCCGCCGCCGUAAAAC